rnacentral:rRNA from 1 species
AGGAUGAACGCUGGCGGCGUGCCUAACACAUGCAAGUCGAACGUCCUGUCUCGCAAGAGGCAGGGAGUGGCGGACGGGUGAGUACCACGUGGGUCAUCUACCGUGAGGUGAGGAAUACCGGCGAGAAAUCGCCGACAAGACCGCAUAGGCUCGAUGCAAGUCGAGCAAAGCUCUUUCGAGAGAGGGAGCGCCACACGAGGAGCCUGCGCCCGAUUAGCUAGCUGGUGGAGUAACGGUUCACCAGGGCGACGAUCGGUAGCUGGUCUGAGAGGACGAUCAGCCACACUGGGAUUGAGAACGGCCCAGACUCCUACGGGGGCAGCAGUGAGGAAUUUCGUCAAUGGGGGCAACCCUGAACGAGCAACGCCGCGUGCAGGAAGAAGGUUUCGGAUCGUAAACUGCUUUUCUCGGGGAAGAGAACGGACGGUACCCGAGGAAUCAGCCCCGGCUAACUACGUGCCAGCAGCCGCGGU